rnacentral:lncRNA from 1 species
UCAUUAAAACAGUUGUAUCUUUCAAACCGUAACUCAGCGUUGUGCCAACCUAUUUUUUCAGCUUAGCCAGAACUCAGAGGGCAGGAUGAAUGGGAUGGCAUCUAAAACAGUCCGGGGAUCCCUGAAGGCUGAAACCUUAUGUGGGGAAGUGUCUGGCCAUGUUGGAGGGGCUGAAGUGCACUAUUUAAGAAACCAUACCACACUUUAGUUGCCACAAGAGCUCACCCCACUAAGGAGACUAUAUGGUGGUGGUAUUAGCAAUUCACAAAGGUAGGAAGGAGAAGGGAAAGACAAAGGUUGAAUCUCACACAAGAAACUCCACACUCUGGCUGCCUCCGUAUAUGGUUCUCUCUCCACUCUAUUGCACAAUGCGCACACAGCUGAUGGAGACAGGAGAAUCCAACAAAAAGCCAAACCAUUUAGGUCACUCAAUCGAGCCAAGAGUCGUGCAAAUGGGCUUCCACUUAACCAGGAACAAAUAGGCCAACUAACCAAAACCUAAUUAGACCAGCAAAACAAGACCACAACUAACACUACGGGCUAACUCACUUAUCACCUCCAACUACUACUUGGGCUCUCAAAAGUGUUGGUCGUUUCUGGGUCAAGCCUAGCUUGUGGUGUCAAUAAAUUACUUGAAAUCUGUUUUAAAUCAUUGUCCUAAUUUAUUGGGUAUCAAAACCCAAUACUAGUACACCGUUAAGCUAAUGCUGUGGCACAUGCAAUAUGCUUUUCUAUACAUUUUAUUAACUAAUGUGUUCAUAUUCUUCCACUGGGUUCUAUCGUACUCGACUCAAGUUAAUCG